GGAAUAUUAGCUGAUUAAGUGCAUUUAUUACCUUUACAGGAAAAGGAGCUUCACUGCAUUUUUCCUGAAUAUUAUUCUCAUGUUGGUAUUUUUUUCAUCUGACUGAAAACACACACUUAGCCAUUGAUCUUUGACAGGUCUUUGUGAGCCUGUCAGUGCUGUUUUGAGGGAAUAGAAGUUUCAAGCUGAGAAAGAAAACAUAUACCGUCCAGUGUAUUGAUUCCUCACUGGUAUUUCUAUACUUUCUAAAGGUGAGGUGAAGUGCAGCAGAAUCUGUGAAUCCCACAGGAAUGUUCUGAUCAGCUAUCAAGAUAAUACACAUCACAUCAGACACACAAGGAGGAGGAUGCAAUUAAAAGCGUGGGGCUGGGAUAUCAUAUGGCUUCCUGCCCACAUCCUUGGAAGUUGCCCAUGAUACUAGGGUAUUGGAGUCUGGGAGCUGUGACGAUAAAGAGGUGGAAGCUAGUCAGUGAUACCUCAGUAACACCUGUGAAGUACCAUUCUAACUGCGCUACCCUUCCAACACGGUAUUACUGUAAACCACUGAUAUUUGGUAAGUCAUUUUUUCUUUGCAUCCACCUAACAGCUAUGUCAGCUAGACCAGUUUGCUUAAUCUUGCUUUGUAAAUGUCAGGUGAAAGAGUGUCAGAGGUACAGCUGUCUAGAGCUUCUUAUGUUGUUUGCC
rnacentral:lncRNA from 1 species